rnacentral:lncRNA from 1 species
GGGUGAGUACCCUGUGUUGACCCCUUGUUUCUGCUCAUACAUACCCCCUUCAGAGCCCAGAGCUGACCCUGAGCCAGAAGGUCAAGGCCAAACUGCAGAACCCAGACCUGCUGGAACUGUGUCACUUGGUGCCCAAGGAAGUGGUUCAGCUGGGGGGCAAAGGCUAUGGGCCAGAGCGUGGAGAGGAAGAUUUUGCUGCCUUUCGAGCCUGGCUUCGGUGCUAUGCUGUGCCAGGCAUGAGCUCCCUGAGAGACCGGCAUGGCCGUACCAUUUGGUUCCAGGGUGAUCCUGGACCCUUGGCACCCAAAGGUAAGUAGCUCAUAAUGUAAGAGAUAAAGAGCUGAGAAAACCAUGGGCCUUGGAUACUCAUUCUCCCAUCCCUCUCCAACCGUGGGAUCACCCAGCAGUAAUAGUCUGAGGGGCUGAAGCCCUAGGGCUCGCUAGCUCCAGUAGAACAUUCUACAGGGGGCAGAUCCCGAAAAAAGAAGUCACAGGAAACACAGCUGGAGGCUGAGGACAGAAAAGAGGACCCUCCAAGCAAGUCCAUUUCCAGGACUCAGAGGGCCAGGAAGCACUGUCCUAAGAAUGUACCUCAACAGUCUGAAGGGGCCAGCCUCCCACAAAACCUGGAAACCCCUGCAGUCCCUGAGAAAGGAAAGAGAAGGGGGAGACGGGCGAGCACAGGUGAGCUGUUUGCAGCAUCCUCCUUGAGCUGGGAAGAAAGAGCCAGGGAGUGGCUCA